UACAGAGGUGGCAAGCGUUGUUCGGAAUUACUGGGCGUAAAGGGCGCGUAGGCGGCCUUCUAAGUCAGACGUGAAAUCCCCCGGCUUAACCUGGGAACUGCGUCUGAUACUGGGAGGCUUGAGUAUGGGAGAGGGAUGUAGAAUUCCAGGUGUAGCGGUGAAAUGCGUAGAUAUCUGGAGGAAUACCGGUGGCGAAGGCAGCUCGCUGGGACGUUACUGACACUGAGGCGCGAAAGCGUGGGGAGCGAACAGG
rnacentral:rRNA from 1 species